UACGGAGGGUGCAAGCGUUAUCCGGAUUCACUGGGGUUUAAAGGGUGCGUAGGUGGGUCUGUAAGUCAGUGGUGAAAUCUCCGAGCUUAACUUGGAAACUGCCAUUGAUACUAUAGAUCUUGAAUACCUGGAGGUUCAGCGGAAAUAUGUCAUGUAGCGGUGAAAAUGCUUAGAUAUGACAUAGAACACCAAAUUUGCGAAGGCAGCUGGCUACACGAAAUAUUUGACCAUGAUGCACGAAAAGCUGGGGGAU
rnacentral:rRNA from 1 species